GGACUCAUCUCUUGGAAACCCAGCGGUUGCCUCAACUCUCUCUUUUCCUCUUCAUAGGCAGCCUUUUUGCGCUGAGGAGAAUUUAGACUAGCUCUAAGUGUUUGGCCAUUACAAAGUGGUGGAAAGCUACCGACGUGGAUUGUCUGCCCACCGGGCAAAAUGAAGAGAUGGCCGAGGAGGGAGACCCAUCCGAUGAAGGUCACCUCUGCUCCAUCUGCUGCCGCCUGCCACUGCCAUCUCUGGAAGCGGGCAACCAGACCGAGGAGGCUGACCACAAUGCUGGCGUGACCCACAGCCAACCCA